rnacentral:rRNA from 1 species
UACGGAGGGGGCUAGCGUUGUUCGGAAUUACUGGGCGUAAAGCGCGCGUAGGCGGACCUGCAAGUCGGGGGUGAAAGCCCGAGGCUCAACCUCGGAACUGCCUUCGAUACUGCGGGUCUCGAGUCCGGAAGAGGAGAGCGGAAUUCCUGGUGUAGCGGUGAAAUGCGCAGAUAUCAGGAGGAACACCCGUGGCGAAGGCGGGACUCCUCUGGGACGGUACUGACGCUGAGACGCGAAAGCGUGGGGAGCGAACAGG